rnacentral:lncRNA from 1 species
AACUCCCCAAAACAUUGGGAAGAUGGGCCUUCUGUCCUGGAAGGGCCAGUCUCCUGGGCAGAGCGCUAUGCAUAAGAAGGAAAGCCGUGUUACUCAAUGGUUCUACUGAACCACUAAGCAACAGGGGCUCUGGGGGCACUGUGGAGAUAGAGAACCCUUAGGAAGGCGAUGCUGGAUCCUAUGGGUCUCAACAGAGGGCCUUACGGGGCCACUGUAACAACCAACCACGAAUGGGAGGCUCAACACAACUGAAACGCACGUCCUCACAGUCCUGGAGGCCCGAACUCCAAAACCAAGGCGCCAGCAGGGCCACGCUUCCUCCACGGAGCCUCGGGGAGCAGACGGUCUUGAGACGAGACUUGCUCCCGCAACCCUUUCCCAGCUGCAGCUGCCUCUCCGCCAUCUCUGCCUCCGUGGCCACGCGGCAUCUUCUCCCUGGCAUGGGCUGAACCACCGCAUCUCGGGCAGGGAAGAAAAAAAUGCUGGCAACUAAACCGUGAGGUCCCUUCAAGAGUAAAAUGGAACCUAAGAGGAAGACGGAACCUAACAGAGAUGUCGGGAGGAGAAGCAGCAUGCAUCUUAGAAUUGAUAAGCACGAUACAUGACGACAGGUGUUUUGGUU